ACUUAUGAACAUAGCAUCCAAGUGUUUUCUCAUGAUUGAUAUCCCCCCCAACAAUGUAUGAUCUUGACACUUAGUGCAAUUACAAGUGCAACUUGCCAAAAACAACAAGCUAGACUUGAUUUAAGUGCACGCAGAUGCCAAAUUUGACCACUGAGUCAAAGAACAAUUUUUAGAUAGAACGAGACCAUUCUAAUCAUGCCAUUGUAAAGUAUAAGAACAAUUACGCACUUCUCUAAAAAAAAGCACCCAAAAAUGUUUUCGUAGGAGCAAAAAGAAAGCCUUGGAAGUUCCCAAAACGAGAAUUAUUCAGCAACACCUACGAGAAUUUGCAAUUUCCAAAACUAUAAACCAAAAGAAAAAACCUACUACACUACUGUGAAGAGCACAAAUUCUGCGUCAAAUAAAAAAAUCUCCCCAGAAAAAGGAGGUUGGAUGAUUGAGUUAUGGCCGUUUGAAGAUUGACUUCCAAAAAGAAAACUCCAAUAGAGGGGAGGGGGCAAAUUUGAGAUGGGCCAUUGACAUUAACUGAUGGAAUACUCCCUCCCCCAAUGGAAUAUGUUCUCAGAAUAUUCCUUUGAUUGGACAAAAUAUGCUUUCCAAGGCUAAAAUAUUCCUUUGAUUGUCAACAAAAUCUUAGUGGAAUCUUUCAAAAAUAUUCUUUGACGGAUUCUUUUGUUGUUCAGAGUUGGAAAGUUUUGGCAGCAAGAAUUUGGUAUAUACUCCAAUGGAACAUUUUUUGCUGACGUCUAGGUUCUAUGAUAGCAGGACUAGGUGAUGGAUGGUCAGCCACAUGUGCGCUUGUUAGUAGGUCUGGUAUCUAUGUUUGUAGGCAUACUUUGCAUAGGCAAGCUAUGGUAUAUAACUUUGAAAAAACUUUAUUAAAAGAAAAUAGAAUUAAAUAUUAUUUUUGUCUUAUCAUACUUGCAUUGGUGCUAGUGGUUGAAUAAGUGCAGACAAUAAUAAUGACAGCCAUACAAUCAUAUGAUAGAGGGAAAUCGAUUUUUUCUGAGGAUCUAGGGAAAAGUGCUCCAAACUUCACGAAUCAACAAUUGAUCUUAGGGUUCUUGGGCCUUCUAAAUGUAAUGUUAGGGUCUGUUUUGAACCAAGAUUCUCGAAAAUUGUAGCUGCCUUUUAGAUCUAGCAACCAUCUUUCAACUUCAAACCCUUGUAGAUUCGCCUCACAUGUUUAAUUUGGACAAAACAAACUUUCUUGGACAUCCUGAACUCAAUAGUGAGCUUAAAUUUGCACCAACAAGCUCCAAGAUGAAUUUGCAAUACAAAGCCACAAAGAGAAACCCCCAAAUUCCCAUAUUUUUAUCAAUUUUAUCUAAUUCUUUGGAUCAUCAUUCAAUGCAAGAUAAGUGCAUACUCAACUUUUCAAGAUCCAAAAAGUUUUGCAACCUAGACCUCUUUUUUUUUUCUUGUUAAUGGGCCAAAUGCCAAAUUGCUUUUGAUUGGAGCUAUGAACCAGUGAGACCACAUUUAUGAGGGGCCUCCUCAUGUUUGUUUGGCAAUACCACCCUUAUAUCUCCUUGUGCCAUCUUGUCUUCCACGCCUAGGCAUCACCUUAUCUCUCCUUUACCUGUGUGUGGGGCACAUGGGCCUCGAGCAGACUCAAACCCAAGACCUCCCUCCCAUGUAGGAGGUUCGCAGCUAACCACUGCGUUGUGGGGCCAUCCCCUUGCAACCUAGACCUCUUACCAAAGACUAACAAUAAGCAAUUCCGUAGAGCUCUAAUGCCAUGUAGAGUUGGUAUAGAAUGUUCUAUAUCAUGCAAGAUUUGGCUGAAGAUUAUAGCUCAAGAUCUUAAAACUUCUAUGAAAGUAGAAAAAAGAUUAGAAUGAGUGAACGAGGCUAUUCUAUCAACAUAUGCAAAAUUACAAUGACUGCUAACUUACAAUGCAUUAAUUAGAUUACAAAGGGAAUUGCUUGGUUAUAUAGACCAAGGUGAGACAUAGGGACUGCAUAAGAAAAUGACGUGUCUUAAUUUUAUGACUUGAGACAAAGUGUUAACUAUUUUGUGUGUCCUAAAUAAGCUUAAUUGACAAGUGUGAAUAGGGCCUAGGUUAUGAACUAGCUAGAUAAAACACCCUUUUCACACCAACAAUCUAUAUUUUUGUUUAUUUUUGGGUGAAAAUUUCAUGGGAAGAAUUUAAAUCUUGACAAUUGACUUGUACACAUUUCCCCGAAGCAUUACCUAUUCAUUCUAAAGCUCUGUUACUUCAAAACUCAGGAGGAAGACUAUGGCUUAACCCAUAUUUCCAUUGUUGAUUGAGGCAUAACUCCUCAAGAAAAAAACAAUUUUCAUGCAGAAAGGAAAACUGAUUUUUCUUGAACUUAAGGGGCUAGAAGGAGAGCAACUUUCCUCAAAGCAUUUGAGCUAAACUUCCACAGACCUUUACCUUUGUAAGCCAUAGAUUUUCAGCCCAUGCUAGAAUGUCUUGCUUUGAGAUUCUAACACCUCUGCAAUCUCAAGUGUUCCCACCUUUAAAAGCUCCCAAAGGCUGUCAACAUCUGCAACUUUUAAAUCUACCAUUGGUCAUUGAUUCGAUACCACAUGCAUUCAGUGAUUUUGAAAAGCAUUGUUGCUUAUAAAAAACUGCUGAUUGGAGUCAUAUUCAUUGCUAAUGCUUUAGAAUGUCCAUUUAGAUGUCUGCCUGCUCAAUUUUUUUUGAAAAACUCUGGUGCCUCAUUCCAGCGCACCAUUUUAUUCCCAUCCUUCAAUAUCUUGUUUUACAUCCCACAUAUAUAUAUAUAUAUAUAUAUAUUUCCUUGAUUGUUUGUAAGUUUAGUAUUGCAAUCCAACUAUUUGAAGAAUACUGAAAUGAAAACCACAAAGGAAUACUUUGCCAUGCCAUGUGUGCACUUGAAAUUCUGCACUCUAAAUGCUGUAUGAAAUGGCAUUUGUUAAGCCUCAUAGCACAAUGAUUCUACAGUUGGGAUUGGCUUAACCUUAUCUUUUUUCUCAUUAACUUUAUUAGAUUUCCCUCUCAACAUAUUUAAGUUCCUGUAAAACAACCUGCCACUCUAUUUCAUUAAAAGGCCUUCACAAAUCUCAUGUAAAAGUUUUUCUAAUCAAACUUGCAUUAAUCAUUAAUUCCAGUUGAAAUGUAGUCACUACUUCCUAUUAUCACUGUCUAUGUUACCUUGGUGAUGAUUACUAUGAUAGUUGGACACAGUUAUAGUGCAAGGCAGUUAUUGGAAAGCAUUGCCGCUGUUCCACUUUCUAUAAUAAUUUAUGUUUCUUCUUCUGUCAUGGUAUGUAAUCCCAUUCACACAAUCCCAUUCACACACUAAUAUCUGUCAUAAACGUAAAUGUUUUCUUAUGCAUAUAUACUAAGCAUUUUCAUUUGUUCAUUGUUAUUUUCCUAUCCAUCCUUGCUGACUACAAUUUUUAUUUUCCUGCAGUUUUACUUCCUAUGGCACUGCGUGCUUCUCCUUUGUCAUGGUAUCCAGUGGACUUGGGCUACCUUGUGAUAAUUGUUGAGCUAACCGAGUAAGCAAUGUACAUAAACUGAAAGCACGAGAAUCCAAUUGUUCAGCUCAAAGCACGAUGGAUGAACUUUCAGUACAAUCUAUUCCGACAAAAUUACUUUGAGAUAAAUGUAAAAUUCUAACCCAUGUAUUUCGGUCUGGGUUGAGUACAAUAUGCUCCAAUAUCUGUCAGAAGACUUCCCAUGCCCCUGCUAAAAGAAACAAGAGUUGUACUGGCAGAUGCCAUGUUUAAAGGGCAUUUAUGGGGGUAUCAUACAGCAAUAAAAUCUUAACGGUGUUGUUAUUAAUGUAACUAAAGGUAACCAUCAAACGUUGUUUCUAUGAAGCACAUGAUUUUUAUUACAGGAAACACAUUAGGAGUAGGUUCACUAUCGUUUUCAUGAAUGACUAUAAAUUUCUGCAAGGCAUUUAGCUUGGGCGAA